UUUAACGGGGCGCUCAAAUCGUUUCAUUAGAUACGUAUAUUUAAAAGUGAAUACUUGUAAUUCAGAGAUCAAUAAAUGUGAAUUUCUAGCUGUCGAUAACAAGUGGUUAAUCAAUCGAGAUGAUGACUCAUAUUAAGCCGUUUGAAAUAUACUUUGUCGCAAGUUUUACCAUUUAAUACGGGAUACUGAUGGAGUAGAAAUCAUAAACAGACACAAGUUUAAAUUGGUGAAGUGAUUAAUUAACUUACUUUCCAUAUGUGUUAGCUAUUGUGAUUCGAAGUCAUGGACUACUUUACUAUAGAUGAAGGACAGAAGAAACUGAUAAAUCAACACUCAGAAAACAGUUUCCUAUCGAGUAACAAUGAGUUGACCAUUACAAGGGUUGAUGGACAAAGAUAUUCAACGACACUGUUCAUGCCGACUGAAAACCAACACAUGGACAUAGUGGUCACACAAGGCACUUAUCGUGACUCAUCCGACAAUACCCUGGUUACACCCUCUCCAAAGAAAAGGAAAACAGUCAAGGGUCGGAUACCUCCAACCUUGCCAAAGCAUUCGUUGCGUUGGUUCUGAUUUUACUGCUAGCGAUGAUGUGUUUGGUAAUUGCAAGUGUUGUACAUGGCGCUCCCCUCUCUCAUAGCACGGCGACAUUACAAGACAGUGCUAAUAAUAGUGACUUCGAUCACGAAGACGUGCAUUACGUUAAUAACGAUACGAUGCAGGACUACUUCACAUCUGAUUAUAACAAUAUCAACCAUACCUAUUUCGUUCAUUCUGCAACCCCUUGACUGUACCUUUGUUUCCACGACGCCAACUUUAACUUAGAACAUUUACUGAAAUAUUAAAACAGGGAACCGUAAUUUUGUAAGCAACAUGGUCGAUAAGAAUGGUCCCAGGCAAUUCCCGAUGCUGUCUCGAAUAAUAUUUCAACAUUGCGGAACAAGAGAAAUCUAAAGAAAAUGGUUUGAAAACCGUUGCUCAAAAUUCGAAGAAGUAAAAUGAUGUUAAUCAUAGCAAUUGUCUUAGCAUACUUCAUUACGCUGGCAAGAGGACUGUGUGUUAAUAUUCAUGAUAACAAAUGUCCCUUGAUGUCCUCUUCCCUGCUACCUGAUAGCACGAAAGACAAAUGCUUAAGUUCAGUUAACAUGUAACUAUUACGAUACAUCAUCAUGACCAAUCGGAUUAAGAGUAUCGAAAGGUCAUUUAUCUUUUUUUAUGUAUGUUUGCUUAUUUUAAAUUUUAAAUAACUUAUUUUAUGGAGACAUUUUGUUUCUAAACUAAUUUCUUCUCAAUAAACAUAUUAAAAUGUUUUCAGAAUUAUUGUCUAGAAGUUAGUAGCUAAUGGACCAUUCGAAAUGAUGGAAAUAAAUAUUUCCAUGAAAAUACUUUAAAAGAAAACAAAAAUCGACAUCUUGUAAGCUUGCACUUGAAAUCAAUUUAUUUCUUAAUUGCCUUAUAUGUUUGUGCUUGUGCUUAUUGUGAUAUAAAGAAUGUAUUUCAUCUGUGAUAAAAUCAAUCGCAUUGAACUAUUGUAUAGAUGACUUUUUCUUGAUUGCUUUGUUUGUUUGUUUUAAGGUUGUAUUUUUGUAAUAAAUAUGUUAUAAAGUCAUCAUUUUAAGGUAGCAUUUUACCAAGAUGAUGGAACG